rnacentral:rRNA from 1 species
GAUGAACGCUAGCGGCAGGCCUAACACAUGCAAGUCGAGGGGCAGCACAGGUAGCAAUACUGGGUGGCGACCGGCGGAUGGGUGCGUAACGCGUAUGCAACCUACCAUUGAUUGGGGCAUAGCCCGAAGAAAUUCGGAUUAAUACUCCAUAAUAUUCAUCAAAGGCAUCUUUUAUGAAUUAAAGCUUUUGCGAUCAAUGAUGGGCAUGCGUGACAUUAGUUAGUUGGUGAGGUAACGGCUCACCAAAACGAUGAUGUCUAGGGGUUCUGAGAGGAUUAUCCCCCAACUGGUACUGAGACACGGACCAGACUCCUACGGGAGCAGCAGUGAGGAAUAUUGGUCAAUGGCGCAAGCCUGAACCAGCCAUCCCGCGUGCAGGAAGACGGCCCUAUGGGUUGUAAACUGCUUUUCCAGGGAGAGAAACUUACGCACGUGUUGCGUGACUGACGGUACCCUGGGAAUAAGCAUCGGCUAACUCCGUCG